rnacentral:rRNA from 1 species
UACGUAGGGUGCAAGCGUUGUCCGGAAUUAUUGGGCGUAAAGAGCUCGUAGGCGGUUUGUCGCGUCUGCUGUGAAAACUCGGGGCUUAACCCCGGGCCUGCAGUGGGUACGGGCAGACUAGAGUGUGGUAGGGGAGACUGGAAUUCCUGGUGUAGCGGUGAAAUGCGCAGAUAUCAGGAGGAACACCGGUGGCGAAGGCGGGUCUCUGGGCCGAUACUGACGCUGAGGAGCGAAAGCGUGGGGAGCGAACAGG